rnacentral:rRNA from 1 species
UACAGAGGUCCCAAGCGUUGUUCGGAUUCACUGGGCGUAAAGGGUGCGUAGGCGGUUGGGUAAGUCUGAUGUGAAAUCUCACAGCUUAACUGUGAAACUGCAUUGGAUACUAUCCGGCUAGAGGAAUGGAGGGGAGACUGGAAUACUUGGUGUAGCAGUGAAAUGCGCAGAUAUCAGGAGGAACACCGGUGGCGAAGGCGGAUCUCUGGGCCAUUACUGACGCUGAGGAGCGAAAGCGUGGGGAGCGAACAGG